rnacentral:misc_RNA from 1 species
CCCACUGGCCUUGAAAAUUGUGCAUGCACAUUUAUCAGUGCAUUAUGUAAUAGUUGUCAUGGUAUUUUUUAGUUUUGAUUAGUUUCCAUGAUUCAUUGCUGUGUCUAUCAUCAACCAUAAGAAAGAAUCUUCCUCCACCGACUCUGAAGAUUAAUUACUGUUUACACGUAGCUUGUUUUUAUUUCACUAGAGGCAAUUAAUUGUUAUUGUUUGACUGUAAGUUAUAUUUCAUGUUUUGUGUAGUAGAACUUUUACAGUCUGUGAGAAUAUUGUGACAUUUUUGUGUAUUCACUCAUGCAUAUUUGUACAGGUAAAUGAUUGAUAUCAAUAUUUGAAUUAAACUUGAUGAAAU